rnacentral:lncRNA from 1 species
GCUGAAUUAGAUACAACAGUCUUUUUUCUUCUAUCUAUUAAUAUUUCUGCAAGGUUAACCCCCUCCUGUUCUUCAAAAUAUCUUUUCUUUUUGCAGCUCUGACACUUUGUUUAAAGUUUAUGACAAUUUUUGUGUCCUUCACUGUCAGUAACUCAUUGCUCGUACCUUCAAUAGCUUCACGGGUCUUUUUGACUUAUUUUGACUCAUGUUAUUUUGACUCAUAUUCCAAAGAUACAAUGCCAGAAGGAAUAUAUUUAGAGUGGUUGUAACUAAAGUAUCAAGUCUAGCUGCACUGCAUGUUCUUGUACACCUCCUUUUAAAAACUGUUAUCUCGUCCUUUCCCAGAAAACAAGGCCAGAGGUUCCUUCCUCCCAUCACAAGAACCUACGUAUCCUUGUCUUUGCUCUUAAAUAUGGUUUAGGCAGGUGAGCCAUGGCACCUGCAGGGAAGGAAUCACUGAAGUCCGGUGAUGUGGAGAGGUUCUCAGCAUGGGCACAGUGCUUUUGGCAGAGGUUAUUUUGAGGAGCAGGCAUCUGGAUGUUCUUUGCUCCUUCUUCUGGACAGUUGCUAACAUUUUCCUCUUGUCAUGAAAGAAAGUGUGUGCUGUUUGGACUGAAUGCCUGUAUCCAUACUGCUGGAGAAAGGACACUGCAAGGGACGAAGUGACUCUGCUAUCACACAGCUCAAACUGCUUCAAAGGUCUGCCCAGUGUGGUAAGUGGCGCAAAGCACUUUAUGAUCUCUGGAUGAAAGUCUCGAUAGUAAGUCCAAAAUUUUUUUUCAAAGGGCAAGUCCAGCAGUCCUUAGCCCCAGUUCAGGCAAAACUGCCAUUGUUUCAUACAUGAGCGUCUGGAAAACAGAGGAUACAGGGGCAUUGAGCCAACUGUUCUUUUUUUUUUUUUUUCUCUCUCUCUUUUUUGACUUUAUUGUAGAAAAGGCUGAAAGACUUUUCAGGGUGGAGGACAUUGUGAGAAAGGGAGGGGGCCACCCGCUGGUAAUGCGAGGCUGAGCGUGUUCUCCACCACUCUGUCCACCUGCCCUCAAUUUGCCUUAUAUUUUGCAUCAUUCAGUUGAGGCCAAUCUUUCAGCCAGAUAAAAAGGACUUUGCAGAAAGUUAUGGGCAAACAGUCUGAAUGGAAACUGUUCUGCAAACUUAAUUACAGUGUUUGCUGUUAAAUGCAAACUAGUAACAGCACACUGGGAUUAGCUGAGUGUUCAGCAGAGAGAGUCCAGGUACAAAUGCUUUAGUUAUAUGGAUCUGAAUUUGAAUUAGACACCUUUCAGCAUCUUAAAAGAAACUGUCUCACCUGUGGUUCAGGUUGUAUCCCUCCUUUUUUUCUUUUCUCUCUCUCUCUCUUUUUUUUUUUUUUUUUUCCCUUCAUUACAUGUGUGUACAAUAAAAUCACAGUCAAAGCAAAGCA